rnacentral:rRNA from 1 species
UUAAAGGGCCGCAGUAUUAAUUGUGCUAAGGUAGCAUAAUAAUUAGUCUUUUAAUUAGAGACUAGAAUGAAUGGUUGAACGAAAUAUAAGUUGUUUCAAAAUUAUAAAAAUAAAAUUUAUUUUUUUAAUUAAAAAAUUAAAAUAAAUUAAAAAGACGAGAAGACCCUAUAGAUCUUUAUAUAAAUAAUUUUUUAAAAUUUAAAAUUUUUAUAUUAAAUUGGGGUGAUUAUAAAAUUUUAUAAACUUUUAUUUUUAAAUUCAUUAAUUUAUGAUUUAUUUAAAUUGAACUAUUUUUUAUAAAAUAAGAUUAAGAUACCUUAGGGAUAACAGCGUAAUUUUAAUUUUAAGUUCUUAUUGAAAUUAAAGAUUGCGACCUCGAUGUUGAAUUAAAAUUAAUAUUAAACGUAGCUGUUUAAUUAUU